GGGGAGUCGGGAGGCACAGACAGGAGAGGAGCCUGGCACCUUGCGGGUUAGCUAGUGCGGAGCACAAGCUGCAGCUGUAGAAAUCUCUCUGCCUCAGCAAGCUGGAAGAUGUUUAUACCUUCAACUUAUGAAAAUGGAUGAAUUUUAGAGAGCCUGGAAAUACAUGAAAACAAGAUAACACUUUGUAAACUGGAUAGUGACUCCUUGGAAGAUGUCCACAUCUGAAUCCCAGAACUUGUAAAUGUGCUAUUUUGAUUGGUAAAACAGACCUUUGUGAAUGUGAUUGAAUCAGUGAGCAUGAGAUGAGGAGAUCAUUCUGGACUGUCAUUAUGGACCACCCUUAUCUCGAGCAUCCUCCUAAGAGGGAGACAAGAGGACCACCAUCAGCCACAAGCAUCCUCCUAAGAGGGAGACAAGAGGACCACCAUCAGCCACAAGCAUCCUCCUAAGAGGGAGACUAGAGGACCACCAUCAGCCACAAGCAUCCUCCUAAGAGGGAGGCAAGAGGACCACUGUCAGUAGCAAGAGCUGUGAUAGCAGAGAGAGAGAGCAGAAUGAUCCCUGGAAGAGAUCAUUGAC
rnacentral:lncRNA from 1 species